GUCUACAGCCAUACCACCCUGAACGUGCCCUAUCUCAUCUGAUCUCACAAGCUAAGCAGGGUCGGACCUGACUAGUACUUGGAUGGGAGGCCGUCUGGGAAUACCAGGUGCUGUAGGCU
rnacentral:rRNA from 1 species